rnacentral:rRNA from 1 species
UACGAAGGGGGCUAGCGUUGCUCGGAAUCACUGGGCGUAAAGCGCACGUAGGCGGCUUUCUAAGUCAGGGGUGAAAUCCUGGAGCUCAACUCCAGAACUGCCUUUGAUACUGGAGUGCUUGAGUCCGGGAGAGGUGAGUGGAACUCCGAGUGUAGAGGUGAAAUUCGUAGAUAUUACGGAAGAACACCAGUGGCGAAGGCGGCUCACUGGCCCGGUACUGACGCUGAGGUGCGAAAGCGUGGGGAGCAAACAGGGAUUAAGAAACCC